rnacentral:tRNA from 1 species
GGUCGCAUGGCCUAAUGGAUAAGGCGCUCGCCUCCGGAGCGGGAGUUUAGGGGUUCGAGUCCUAGUGUGAUCG